AAAGAUCCAUUAGAGUAGGUAGAGUUUUCAAAUUUAAAAAGCGAAGUAAGGAUUGCUGGGCUAUGCUUUUUAGUUCAAGAAAAAGAAGCUCGUCUGCAAUAGACAAAAUUUCGAACAUAGUUUCCAACCAAUUAUGAAAAUCGGAUUCUUUCAAAUCGUCAAAAAGCUCAACUUUUAAGUCACUGUAUACAUGACGAAGAACAAUUGACAUAUGCUCAACAGUCAAAUGAGACAAAUUGACGGUUAUUGGGAUGUCAAAACUAUUGCUUUCCAUAGAAACAAAUUGGAAAUAAGAACUAAAGUAUUCACUGCGGAGACUUAAAAAAAGACCAUGUGCCUUGAGCUCUCCAUCUUUAAGCUUUAUUACUGUAUCCAUUGUUUCUUCGC